UGCCAGCCGCCGCGGUAAGACGGAGGGUGCUAGCGUUGUUCGGAAUCACUGGGCGUAAAGGGCGCGUAGGCGGCCGAAGGAGUCGGAUGUGAAAGCCCGGGGCUCAACUCCGGAGGUGCAUCCGAUACUCUUUGGCUGGAGGCCGGAAGAGGAGGGUGGAAUACCCAGUGUAGAGGUGAAAUUCGUAGAUAUUGGGUGGAACACCGGUGGCGAAAGCGGCUCUCUGGUCCGGUCCUGACGCUGAGGCGCGAAAGCGUGGGGAGCAAACAGGAUUAGAUA
rnacentral:rRNA from 1 species